CCUACGGGUGGCAGCAGUGAGGAAUAUUGGUCAAUGGUCGGGAGACUGAACCAGCCAAGCCGCGUGAGGGAUGAAGGUACAGAGUAUCGUAAACCUCUUUUGUCAGGGAACAAAGGCGGGGACGUGUCUCCGGAUGAGUGUAUCUGAAGAAACAGCAUCGGCUAACUCGGUGCCAGCAGCCGCGGUAAUACGGAGGUUGCGAGCGUUAUCCGGUUUUAUUGGGUUAAGGGGGUGCGCAGGGGGCUUGUUAAGUCAGCGGUAAAAGCCCGGGGCUCAACCCCGGCCCGCCGUUGAAACUGGCAAUCUGGAGUUGAAGAGAAGUAUGCGGAAUGCGCGGUGUAGCGGUGAAAUGCAGAGAUAUCGCGCAGAACUCCAAUUGCGAAGGCAGCAUGCCGGCCCCAAACUGACGCUGAGGCACGAAAGCGUGGGUAGCGAACAGGAUUAGAUACCCCUGUAGUC
rnacentral:rRNA from 1 species